UGCAGCCGUGUCAAAUUCGGGGUCCGCCUUGCAUGGCAGGCACCGGCCCAGGAGGCUGCCACAGAAACACUGUGACUCAUGGGCCUUGCGCCCCUUGUCGGAUGCAGGGAUAAAUUCAGUCACAGACAGCU
ensembl:snoRNA small nucleolar RNA, H/ACA box 5A